rnacentral:rRNA from 1 species
UACGUAGGGGGCUAGCGUUGUCCGGAAUCAUUGGGCGUAAAGAGCGCGUAGGCGGCCAGAUAAGUCCGGUGUGAAAGUCACAGGCUCAACCUGUGAAUGCCGCUGGAAACUGUCUGGCUAGAGUCCGGGAGGGGCGAGUGGAAUUCCUGGUGUAGCGGUGAAAUGCGCAGAUAUCAGGAGGAACACCGGUGGCGAAGGCGGGUCUCUGGGCCGAUAUUGACGCUGAGGAGCGAAAGCGUGGGGAGCGAACAGG